rnacentral:rRNA from 1 species
ACGGGUGAGUAACACGUGGGUAACCUGCCCUAUAGACUGGGAUAACUCGCGGAAACGCGUGCUAAUACCGGAUAAUACAUGAAAGUGCAUGCUUUGAUGUUGAAAGAUGGUUCUGCUAUCACUAUAGGAUGGGCCCGCGGCGCAUUAGCUUGUUGGUGGGGUAACGGCCUACCAAGGCGACGAUGCGUAGCCGACCUGAGAGGGUGAUCGGCCACACUGGGACUGAGACACGGCCCAGACUCCUACGGGAGGCGGCAGUAGGGAAUCUUCCACAAUGGGCGAAAGCCUGAUGGAGCAACGCCGCGUGAGCGAAGAAGGUCUUCGGAUCGUAAAGCUCUGUUGUAAGGGAAGAACAAGUGCAGUAGUAACUGGCUGCACCUUGACGGUACCUUACUAGAAAGCCACGGCUAACUACGUGCCAGCAGCCGCGGUAAUACGUAGGUGGCAAGCGUUGUCCGGAAUUAUUGGGCGUAAAGCGCGCGCAGGCGGUCUCUUAAGUCUGAUGUGAAAGCCCCCGGCUUAACCGGGGAGGGUCAUUGGAAACUGGGAGACUUGAGUGCAGGAGAGGGAAGCGGAAUU